rnacentral:rRNA from 1 species
AGCGAACGCUGGCGGCAGGCUUAACACAUGCAAGUCGAGCGGACCUUUCGGGGUCAGCGGCGGACGGGUGAGUAACGCGUGGGAACGUGCCUUCCGGUUCGGAAUAACCCUGGGAAACUAGGGCUAAUACCGGAUACGCCCUUAUGGGGAAAGGUUUACUGCCGGAAGAUCGGCCCGCGUCUGAUUAGCUAGUUGGUGGGGUAACGGCCUACCAAGGCGACGAUCAGUAGCUGGUCUGAGAGGAUGAUCAGCCACACUGGGACUGAGACACGGCCCAGACUCCUACGGGAGGCAGCAGUGGGGAAUAUUGGACAAUGGGCGCAAGCCUGAUCCAGCCAUGCCGCGUGAGUGAUGAAGGCCUUAGGGUUGUAAAGCUCUUUUAUCCGGUACGAUAAUGACGGUACCGGAGGAAUAAGCCCCGGCUAACUUCGUG